GACGGAGGUUGCAAGCGUUGUUCGGAAUGACUGGGCGUAAAGGGAGCGCAGGCGGCGGGGCCAGUCCAAAGUGGAAGCCCGGGGCUCAACCUCGGAAGGGCUUUGGAUACUGCCUCGCUAGAGUUCGUGAGAGGAAGGCGGAAUUCCAGGUGUAGCGGUGAAAUGCGUAGAUAUCUGGAGGAACACCGGUGGCGAAAGCGGCUUUCUGGCACGAUACUGACGCUGAGGCUCGAAAGCGUGGGGAGCGAACAGGAUUAGAUACCCCCGUA
rnacentral:rRNA from 1 species